CGGGAACAAGAUCGCGCCGGUGCCCCGCAAGGGGCUUAAAAGGGAAGGCGGUGGGAACGGUUCGCCGUUCGAAUCCGCAGCUGUCCCUGCAACUGUAAGCGGCGAGCGCGAUGCACAUCGCCUGUCCCCAGCGGGACGGGCAGCCACUGAGGCCGGACGCUGCGACAUGCGAGGCUUCGGGAAGGCCGUGCAUCAAGCUGUGACCCGCGAGCCAGGAGACCUGCCGGCGUCUGGUCGCUCUU
rnacentral:ncRNA from 2 species